GUACAUCAAAGUACUCUCCACACAUGCACACUCAUCUUGCACAUUUUCGUUUGCCCAGAUUCUUCUGAUCGCGUUCCUGCAGAACUUGACGGCACAUUUACUCGAAUUCUCGCUUGCCUUAGUUCGUUGCGAUUAGUUGUACAGUUUCACACUGCCACAUAAUUAAUUUUGACAUUUUCGUGGACCUAACAAUAACAUGACGUCUAGAGCAGAGAAAUCAAGUUUGCUUUUUUGUUCGAAGACUAGUAAUGUGUGAAUGGCCGCAAUGGGGUUUGCGAAUGCUGGCUUAGGGACGUGAAACCUUGAAAAACGACUUGUUGUCUACUGCCAUCUCUCCGUGUGUACAUCGCUUAGGAGACGUUCAGCAUGAGCGACGUUGACAACCAGGCGUCAACAUGGUCAUAUCGACAUCUCGGACUGAUGCUUUGUUUACCAUUGUUGGGUGUUGACUAUUGUCAUCCUCUCCAGGGCUCGUCAAGCGCGGGGAGUACCCUAACGUGUCACGUCGCUGUCUACAUGGUCUAGAGCAGUGAUUAUGCAACGCAGCUGCUGCGUGACAUGGACCCUGAUAUGACUGCUUGGCGGAGUGCCUAACCAGUUGACCGCAGUUGUUUCGAUGGAACUCUCUCGCCACAGUAGAAAUGUUGUUGGCUUUCACCAAUGGAAAGGUACAAACGCUUAUCUUAUCCCUGUGGUUUUCACACACGCGCGAGAAAGUCAUGUUCUGGGCAGGACCAGACGGGAGCUGCUGUACUGCGCUGAACUGGAUGAACGGACGGGCCAUGGGACAAUCUAGCACCUUACUACUUACUAGUACUUCCAAGCAGUGUCGCUGUACCAGCGGCAGCACAGCCUAGCAUACUCACUAUAAAUAGGAGAGUUACAGCUCAUGUCAAUUUAUUAUUUUGUUUCAAGUUUGGGGCUGUGUGCCUGUGGUAGGUGUCCGGUGGUGUGUGUUUCUCAAUUCCGAUGUGACGACAACAGCAAACGUUCGCAUCAAAUCUCCCUUGGUUUCCUUCGGCAGUGGAAGCCAAGUUUCUUCAAGUCGCAGAGUUGGAUCGCUAGUUCGUGUGUACUGUCGUAUGGACGCUACAGUAAGCUAGCGUAGGCAGCUGGGCUUGCGUGCCCAUGCGACCGACGACGCAAGCUCCCGGUGCGGCCCCGUCCGCCCGGAAUCGUAUUGGUUCUCUUCGUUAGUCUUCUUCCCCAGUCUUCUUUUCUAUCCGCAUUUUUCUUCCGCUCCGGGAUCAGUCGUCGUUCUGGCUUACCAGCAGGCCUGAAGAGAUCACUGGCAAAAGGCCGGAUACCUGUAGCAAUGAGCGGUGUCAACAAUACAUGCUCACAGCCUACCGUCCCGGCUGGCGACCACCGUGCAGUGGUGGGAUGGCUUCAUCUUGGUCGACACCUACGCGCAUACACACACGCUGCUCGCAGUAGUGGUGGUGGUGUUGCCCAUGGCGUGCGGCCAAGAGCAAAGAGUCGCCGCUUUCAUCAUGAACUCCCCAAUAAUGCUCAUUGCUUUUCGUCAGCUGAUCUCUCUGCCUGAUAACACAAGCACAGGGUUAUGUGCUCUUGUUGUUUUAUGGUAGCUGGACUUUGUCUCCAUCUGGCGACUGAUCCAUUUGUAUACCUCAAUCCACAUGUUUCUUUGUCGUAGUACGCUGCUACUUUGUUUGUUUUUUUUCACGUUUUUUCUGUCGUGUAAAGCAUCGAUUUCUUCUGGUGGCCAAUGUGUAAUGUGUAAAUGUUUUCACAUUGAGCAAUAUUCCGAUAUGUACUAUAAUGUAGUCAGGCACAUGAUGUACGACCGUACUGUACAUAAUUGCCCAGUCUCAA